GGAGAGGUGUCCGAGUGGUUUAAGGAGCUGGUCUUGAAAACCAGUGACUCCUUUGUGGAGCCGUGGGUUCGAAUCCCACCCUCUCCGCCA
rnacentral:tRNA from 1 species